rnacentral:lncRNA from 1 species
UCAUAUGGUAGUUUACAAUAAACUGUCCAUAUGAAGAUGGCAACGAUUGUAGGAUCAAAUCCGUUUGCAAAUCCUUGUGCAUGGUCCUGCCAAGCUUCUCAAGCUCCUCAAGAUCCUUAAUUAUGGUCAAACCAUAUUCAUGGAUAGACUGCCCAUCGCGCAUCUUGGCUUUGAAGAGUCGCUUGGAUACUUCAAACCUCGCUGCGCGACUCUGUUCACCAUAUAACUCUUGUAGGUGAUCAAGUAUGCCCUCAGCAAUUUUCAUGCUCUCAUGCUGGCAUUGCAAUUCA